rnacentral:rRNA from 1 species
AGGAAUACAUCGGAAUUUGCCCAGUCGUGGGGGAUAACGUAGGGAAACUUACGCUAAUACCGCAUACGACCGAGAGGUGAAAGCGGGGGAUCAGCAAUGACCUCGCGCGAGUGGAUAAGCCGAUGUCGGAUUAGCUAGUUGGCGGGGUAAAGGCCCACCAAGGCGACGAUCCGUAGCUGGUCUGAGAGGAUGAUCAGCCACACUGGGACUGAGACACGGCCCAG